CAAAGAGUAGUUUAACAUGAACACUAGCUUUGGGGGCUAGCAGUGGAGGUUCAAGUCCUCUCUCCUUGA
rnacentral:tRNA from 1 species